rnacentral:rRNA from 1 species
UACGGGGGGAGCAAGCGUUGUUCGGAUUUACUGGGCGUAAAGCGUGCGCAGGCGGCUUUGCAAGACAGAUGUGAAAUCCCCGGGCUUAACCUGGGAACUGCAUUUGUGACUGCAUGGCUGGAGUGCGGCAGAGGGGGGUAGAAUUCCACGUGUAGCAGUGAAAUGCGUAGAGAUGUGGAGGAAUACCGAUGGCGAAGGCAGCCCCCUGGGAUAACACUGACGCUCAUGCACGAAAGCGUGGGGAGCAAACAGG